UACCUACGGGAGGCAGCAGUAGGGAAUCUUCCACAAUGGACGAAAGUCUGAUGGAGCAACGCCGCGUGAGUGAAGAAGGGUUUCGGCUCGUAAAGCUCUGGUGGGAGUGAAGAAAGAUAGAGGGAGUAACUGGCCUUUAUUUGACGGGAAUUACUUAGAAAGUCACGGCUAACUACGUGGCAGGAGCCGCGGUAAUACGUAGGUGGGAAGCGGUGUCCGGAUUUAUUGGGCGUAAAG
rnacentral:rRNA from 1 species